rnacentral:lncRNA from 1 species
AUUUCAACUCUCUGCAGCCCAGCACUCAGGGUCAAGUGAUUCAUCCAGGUGGCGCUAGGAGGGAUCUUCGCCGCAGAGGGCAUUCGAGAGAUGACAACUCUAGACAUCCAUGCAACUUCUGUUCUUGUGCUCCUGCUGUUUUCAAAUUCCACAGUCACAGACUGCACCCUGGAAAACUCAGGACACCCUAGAGUGAACUGCUCUGAAGAACAAAGUUGCUACUUGCUUGCUACCUCUGGUUGCUACCCCUGGUUGUGUUUGGUUGCCACAUAAUGAAAUGAUUUUCCUUCCCUCUUUUAUUUCCUUUCUUUCUUUUUUU